rnacentral:lncRNA from 1 species
GAGUAGCCGUUUUGGAGUUCUUCCAUAAAAAGCAAAGCUACAUUUGUAAAGAUUUUCCGAGUCUAUGAUGCGGUCACAUAGAUUAUUGGAUUUUUAGGUGUUUAUAAUAAACGGAUUUGGAUUAAACCCAAAUCACAGAAAAAACUCUAGCUUAAUCUAGAUCAUUGGAAAAAAAGAAUUGUCAUCACCGCCUGAUCAUCACCGUCGUUCAGGUCCUUUC